AGUAGCGGCGAGCGAACGGGGACUAGCCCUUAAGUCAAUGCACGGUUAGGUGAACGGCCUGGAAAGGCCGGCCAUAGUGGGUGAUAGCCCCGUAACCGAAAACCCGCAUUGGUGAAAUCGAGUAGGUCGGGGCACGUGAAACCUUGACUGAAGACGGGGGGACCAUCCUCCAAGGCUAAAUACUCCUGGCUGACCGAUAGUGAACCAGUACCGUGAGGGAAAGGCGAAAAGAACCCCGGCGAGGGGAGUGAAAUAGAUCCUGAAACCGUAUGCGUACAAGCAGUGGGAGCUGGCUUCGGCUGGUGACCGCGUACCUUUUGUAUAAUGGGUCAGCGACUUAUAUUCAGUGGCGAGCUUAACCGACUAGGGGAGGCGUAGGGAAACCGAGUCUUAACAGGGCGAUGAGUCGCUGGAUAUAGACCCGAAACCGGGCGAUCUAUCCAUGGCCAGAGUGAAGGUCAGGUAACACUGACUGGAGGCUCGAACCCAAGUAUGUUGAAAAAUGCUGGGAUGAGCUGUGGAUCGGAGUGAAAGGCUAAUCAAGCCCGGAGAUAGCUGGUUCUCCUCGAAAGCUAUUUAGGUAGCGCCUCACGUAUCACCGUCGGGGGUAGAGCACUGUUUCGGCUAGGGGGCCAUCCCGGCUUACCAACCCGAGGCAAACUCCGAAUACCGAUGAGUGCAGCGUGGGAGACACACAGCGGGUGCUAACGUCCGUUGUGAAAAGGGAAACAACCCAGACCGUCAGCUAAGGCCCCCAAAUUCUGGUUAAGUGGGAAACGAUGUGGGAAGGCUUAGACAGCUAGGAGGUUGGCUUAGAAGCAGCCAUCCUUUAAAGAAAGCGUAAUAGCUCACUAGUCGAGUCGGCCUGCGCGGAAGAUGUAACGGGGCUCAAACCAG
rnacentral:rRNA from 1 species